rnacentral:rRNA from 1 species
CUACGGGCUGCACCAGUGAGGAAUAUUGCACAAUGGGGGGAACCCUGAUGCAGCAACGCCGCGUGGAGGAUGACGCAUUUCGGUGUGUAAACUCCUUUUAUAUGUCAAGAAAAUGACGGUAGCAUAUGAAUAAGCACCGGCUAACUCCGUGCCAGCAGCCGCGGUAAUACGGAGGGUGCAAGCGUUACUCGGAAUCACUGGGCGUAAAGGACGCGUAGGCGGGUUGGAAAGUCAGGUGUGAAAUCCUACAGCUUAACUGUAGAACUGCACUUGAAACUUCUAAUCUAGAGUAUGGGAGGGGGAGAUGGAAUUAGUGGUGUGGGGGUAAAAUCCGUAGAUAUCACUAGGAAUACCUAAAGCGAAGGCGAUCUCCUGGAACAUUACCGACGCUAAGGCGUGAAAGCGUGGGGAGCAAACAGGAUUAGAUACCCGUGUAGUC